UCCUGCAAAUCUAAAUUGUCAUGGAAUGACGAAGCCAAGAAUGAAUUCAGGGAACUCAAGAAACUGAGUCUUACCAUCAGCUCCACUUCCCUGUUCUCCAGAUCCCAGCCAUCAAUAUAUUGUUGAAAUGGACAACCUAGAUGUUGGACUCUGAGCUGUUCUCGGUCAGAGGAUUGUCGAUAACACAGUUCACAUUGUGCUUUUUUAUUUAAAAAACUUGUCAUCCCCAGAGAGUAAGAAUGAUAAUGGAGAUGGGGAACAGCUGGUUAAACUCUCCUUGGAGGAACAGAGACAUUGGCUGGAAGAAGCAGAAACCCCAUUUCUUGUUUGGAUGGAUCACAAGAACCUCGACUAUACUGUAUUUAGUCUGCCAGGGGAUUAUAUUCAUCCCAUGCUAGGUCACAUUGCUCUUCAGUAAUUUUAAUUGUACCUUAUUUUACAGACCUGGGACAAGGAACAUCAAGCCGGUUGCCCUCUCCAGAAUCAAGAAACCAUCCAUCACCAAUCAGAGUGGUGGCCAGGAGAAGUUCAUCAUUUCAAAGUCUAUGAGGCUGGCAGCCACUCCACUGGUCCUGGAGGAUAAGAUCAAUGAGUCCUGUGGUUUCAGUGGUUUGUGAUACCAAAGAAUACUUCUCCGUCUGCCAUUUCUGCAGUGACACCAAGUCAUCCAGGAGACCAUCCGUCAGACUACUAUGAUCCCUACCCAUAAUCCAUCGGUGGUUCUGCAGGUCCCUCAAAAAACUUCCAAAAGGAACUCUCUGGGAACAUGGGUCGUGAUGUUUUUUGUCUCCACGGAUUACCCAUGGAAAUUGUCUCGUGACUCAUCACGUGCUAUGUUGGGAAUCCAGGUGAGUCUGUCCUCUAUCUUACAUCCUCAAUCUGACACUGAAAUUGAAAGGAUGAUGUACAAACCAAACUUUGUAUCCUUUGUGAUGUUGCCACCAAGAGGUCACAGAAUCUACUUUGGGCUGAAUACACCACCAACUCCCUUCCAAUUAGUUCCACCGGUCUGUCUCUGUUUUACACGGUUUAUGGGUUCCAGCCACUGGUGUUCACUAACCAGGAGAGGGAGUCUGGAGGACCAUCUACCUAUCCAUCAGCCAUGUGUUGGCAAUGCAUUGCAUGAAAAGCCU